rnacentral:rRNA from 1 species
UGGACAUGACCUUAGUACGAGAGGACCGGGUCGUACGUACCGCUGGUGUAUCUGUUGUGCCGCCAGGUGCAGCGCAGAGUAGCUAUGUACGGACAGGAUAAACGCUGAAAGCAUCUAAGCGUGAAACCUUCCACAAGAUGAAUUUUCUUUUAAGGGCCGUAAUAGACGAUUACGUUGAUAGGCUACAGAUGUAAAGGUGGCGACAUCAAAGUCGAGUAGUACUAAUUGCCCGUACGCUUUAAUUUU